UGAAGAUCCUCCUCAUCUGCACCCUCUCCUGAUCUCGGGUUUCCGUGGGCUGCUCUGAUGUAAAGGGCUACUCGGGAGGAAGCGUCAUUAUAAUCUCUAAUCUAAAAUGGGAUUCAAGACAAAGUAAAUAUGUUUGUAAGGUGGGAAAAGAAGCCUGCAGAGAUUUAAUACAUUUUAACACCAAAGAGGACUAUGUUAUAGUAGAAAGAUUCAUGCUGUAUUCAAACACAAAAGGAUAUAUGACAGUGUUUAUCAGACAGCUGAAGCUACAAGACGCAGGAACAUACAGAAUAGGAGUAGGGACUGGGAAGAGCACUGAUGUAAACCUGGCAGUUGUUAAUGAUUCCUGUUGUUCUGGGCCAAAAUAAUAAAUGCUUGUCUUGGACAAAAUACCAGCAUCAUCUGUAACUAUCCAGCAGUGUAUGAGAGAAACUACAUACAUAUCAAUAAACUCGAUAAUAACCGUGUUAUUAAACACAUUCUUAACACUCAGACAAAACCUCAGAACGGCAGAUUCUCCAUUUCCAAUGACACAAGUGCUAAAGUUCUCAGUGUGAACGUCAGUGAAGUGAGAGAAGCUGAUGAUGGAGUUUAUUUAUGUGGAGUGUAUAUCGGAGAGGGCUCAGUCCCGUUUUACUCCUACUUCACAGAGAUCCAGCUACACAUUCCAGCAAUUCACAUGAUAACAUCCGCAGCACCAAAAGAAAUCCCAUCUGAUGCUGAAUGUUUCAGUAAGAGCUCACUCAUUAGACAUGCCUCUCACUGUUUAAUUCCGUAUCCAUGUCAAAUGCAUGUGUAUACAGUCAGGGGAUCGGUGCGUUACAGACCGGGGAUCAAUGUGUUACAGUCAGGGGAUCGGUGUGUUACAGACUGGGGAUCACUGUUUUACAAUCAGGGGAUCAGUUUGCUACACUCAGGGGAUCAAUUUUUUACAGAUAAGGGGAUCAGUUUGUUAUAGUCAGGAGAUCAGUGUGUUACAGUCAGGGGAUGAGUGUACUACGGACAAGGGAUCAGUGUUUUACAAUCAGGGGAUCAGUUUGUUAUAGUCAGGGGGUCAGUUUGUUACAGUCACGGGAUCAGUGUGUUACAGACAGGGGAUCAGUGUGUUACAGUCAGGGAUCAGUUUGUUACAGUCAGUGGAUCAGUGUUUUACAAUCAGGGAUCAGUGUGUUACAGUCAGGGAUCCGUUUGUUACAGUCAGGGAUCAGUUUGUUACAGUCAGUGGAUCAGUGUUUUACAGCCAGGGGAUCAGUGUGUUAUAAUCAGUAGAUCAGUGUGUUAGGGCUCCACAACAGGAACUAGAACAUGAUUAAAGAUGAAAGGUUCCUGGUUUCAUAUCUCUGUUUGGUACCCAUUGUUGUUAGGUCUAACCACAUCUUCUACAACAUGACUCAUAUCACCAGAUAUUAAAAAAGACCAGGAACUGACCAACAGCUCUAAUGUACACUCAUACACUGUACAAAAUACAUGUUGUGUAUGAAGAUUGUGUGUCUGGUCUGUUCCGGUUCUGUGUUGUUUCUGUUUCUGGCUCCAGGUUUUUUUUUCAUCAUCGGUGUGUGUGUCUGUGUGGCUCUGCUGCUGAUUGGAGGAUUUGCACUGAUGAUCUACAAAAUGAGACACAAGAGAACACACGAUUCAACACCUUCAUCCACAGACAGUGAAGAGGCUUCUUCUGUUUAUGAGAAUGACCUGGAUAAUUUUACCCCCAUAUGAAAACUUGAACAGUGUAAUAAGAUUGAAUCAUCAGAAUCUGCAUUCAAUUACAAGCCAAUCAGAUUCAACAUACCAAACACUGGACCCCCGCACCAACCAAGCUGAUUCAGGCUACACAUCUCUGACUUACACCACCGACCAAUCAUAUUCACACUACCAAUGUCUGAAUCCUAGAACUCAGACUAACUCCGUUUACCACACCCUGCAUUCUUAAUGCUUACUUUUUUAUUUAUUCUUUUAAUUGUGAUGCAAAGUAAAAAUGUAAUUGUGGUGAAUUGCUGUGGUAAAAGUUUGGACCUGAUGUUAUUGGAAUAUAAUCACCUCAGGCUGGCAAUAGUAACUCCCUAUAAUUGAUUAUUUCCCAAUAACAGCUCGCUCAAUCGUGUUUUAUUCUGUACUGUUACUUCUGUACUGUUUUAUUCAUGUCAAUAAUGUAAACUUAAAACUGUGAUGUAAUGUUAAAAAAAAAAAUGGGGGAAAAUGUAUAUCAUCUAUAUGUGAAUGAAAUGUUGGUGGCAUGAUGACGUGGUAUUAGGUGAGGAUUGCAUCGUAACACUUGAGUGAAACUCUAUGCCAUAUAAAUAUCAGUUUUAUAAGUGUACUUGCAUAUUGAGUGAAAUUUGAUGGCAAAUUCAUGUAAAGAAAAACAAAAUAAAUUAUUUUAACUUUAAUAAUCAAGGUGCAUGUGAGCAGUUCUUCAUCAAAAAAAAAUUUCAAUUUUAAAUGUUUUGUCUGUGGAUAUUUCAGUGACCAUUGUUACGGAGCAGAGGGAUAAACAGGAAGUAAGUGCAGGAGCACUGUCUUUAUUAAUAAAUCAAUGAAACAAACAAGCACACACGGGAACGCGUUCUAUACAGAGUUAGCGAGAAAACAUGGGACUAGAGUCGAGGCAGGAAACAGGACAUGAAAACCAAGACCGCUCAGCAGCCUCGUCUCUGUUUGUUUACCAAGCCGAUU
ensembl:lncRNA